GACGAACGCUGGCGGCGUGCUUAACACAUGCAAGUCGAACGCUGAAGCUCAGCUUGCUGGGUGGAUGAGUGGCGAACGGGUGAGUAACACGUGAGUAACCUGCCCUCUUCUUUGGGAUAACGCCCGGAAACGGGUGCUAAUACUGGAUAUUCACUGAUUCUCGCAUGGGGGUUGGUGGAAAGGUUUUUUCUGGUGGGGGAUGGGCUCGCGGCCUAUCAGCUUGUUGGUGGGGUGAUGGCCUACCAAGGCUUUGACGGGUAGCCGGCCUGAGAGGGUGACCGGUCACAUUGGGACUGAGAUACGGCCCAGACUCCUACGGGAGGCAGCAGUGGGGAAUAUUGCACAAUGGGCGAAAGCCUGAUGCAGCGACGCCGCGUGAGGGAUGGAGGCCUUCGGGUUGUAAACCUCUUUCGCUCAUGGUCAAGCCGCAGCUUGGGGUUGUGGUGAGGGUAGUGGGUAAAGAAGCGCCGGCUAACUACGUG
rnacentral:rRNA from 1 species